rnacentral:rRNA from 1 species
UACGUAGGUGGCAAGCGUUGUCCGGAAUUACUGGGCGUAAAGCGUGCGCAGGCGGUUUGCUAAGACAGGUGUGAAAUCCCCGGGCUUAACCUGGGAACUGCGCUUGUAACUAGCAGGCUAGAGUGUGGCAGAGGGGGGUGGAAUUCCACGUGUAGCAGUGAAAUGCGUAGAGAUGUGGAGGAACACCGAUGGCGAAGGCAGCCCCCUGGGCUAACACUGACGCUCAUGCACGAAAGCGUGGGGAGCAAACAGG